rnacentral:rRNA from 1 species
UGUGCCUACGGGGGGCAGCAGUGAGGAAUAUUGGUCAAUGGUCGGGAGACUGAACCAGCCAAGCCGCGUGAGGGAUGAAGGUACAGAGUAUCGUAAACCUCUUUUGUCAGGGAACAAAGGCGGGGACGUGUCCCCGAAUGAGUGUACCUGAAGAAAAAGCAUCGGCUAACUCCGUGCCAGCAGCCGCGGUAAUACGGAGGGCGCGAGCGUUAAUCGGAAUUACUGGGCGUAAAGCGCGCGUAGGCUGUUGUGUAAGUUGGGGGUGAAAUCCCACGGCUCAACCGUGGAACAGCCCUUGAUACUGC